CUUCCUUUCCACCAAGCCACAACUCUUCCUUUGGAACCUCUGAAUUCAAAGGAUGCUUCACAGACUGCUGCAAAUCUCACUAUAGGAAAGCAAUCGGCACAGCCGCGUGAUUGUCACAAAAUUUGAAGAAUCACAUCAACUUCUUGAUAAGUCUAGACAAUCUAACAUUUGCAGCUGUAAUGGCCUUUGAGUCCCUGGGAUAAAGGCCUCAGCCAAAGCCAGGAGUUGCCUAUAAAGUUCUCCUUGACAGAAACUGGGAUGGAAUCCAGGCUCAUUUCAGCAAUAUUUGUGGAGAAGAGGAUUGAACUCAAUAUAUUUGACCCAAAAGUGCAUUUUUG